UCCGGAAUAGCAGCCGUAGGUUCCAUCCUCUCCUCUCUGGGAGUGGCGACCCCCUGAAGUUCACGACCAACUCAGCCGCAGGAUUCACCUCCGUCUGGGUCCGAGCUCUUUUCGGAGAGGACGGUACACCAUCAGAACGAACAACUGCAGAUGACCCAGAUACCUGAUUGUUAUCUGACUGACCUGCUGCAGCAGAGGUCCCGGUAUUGAUCUCAGGAAGUGAGGGAUGAGACGCUGAGGCAGAUGCGCUGGAAACAGCUAGAUUGUUUCGAGCCGCGGUCACUGCGGCCGAAAGAUCACCAGCACAAGCAGGAGCCCCGGCGUUGGCUCGUUGAACACGAAGGCUUGGACGCCUCAUUCUUCUAAUGAGCGAGAGUUCUGAAGUAGAGCUGGAGUUAGGAGGAACUGAACAAACAAAGCACGACAUUUGUUAGUUAGCAGCUCGAGUUGCGCAGCUGUCUCGAUAACUCGUACAUUUUAA
rnacentral:sRNA from 1 species